GGGGGUAUAGCUCAAUGGUAGAGCAUUCGACUGCUAAUUGAGAGGUCCUCGUUUCAAACUCGGGUGUCCUCU